AUUGAACGCUGGCGGCAGGCCUAACACAUGCAAGUCGAGCGAGCGGCGGACGGGUGAGUAAUGUAUGGGGACUGCCCGAUAGAGGGGGAUAACUACUGGAAACGGUGGCUAAUACCGCAUACUAUCGGAUAACCCAUAUGGGAUUAGCUAGUAGGUGGGGUAAAGGCUCCCCUAGGCGACGAUCUCUAGCUGGUCUGAGAGGAUGAUCGGCCACACGGGGACUGGGACAAGGCCCAGACUCCACCGGGGGGAUCAGGGGGGAAUGUUGCACAAUGGGCGCAAGCUUGAUGCAGCCAGGCCGCGUGUAGGAGGAGGGCCUUAGGGUGGUAAAGUACUUUCAGCGGGGAGGCGUUACCCGCAGAAGAAGCACCGGCUAACCCCGUGCCAGCAGCCGAGGGAAUAC
rnacentral:rRNA from 1 species